GCAAACUGCUGUCUGAUCAGCAAUCCCCAUGUAUCAAAGCUGAAUCCAACUUGUCAAGCUCCAAUUGCCAAAAUCAUCCAAGACAUUAUUCAAUUCAAUUCAUGUUGCACUAGUGUUGAAGAGAUCAAUGUUGAAGCACUGGUUCCUUGCCGGUCUUGCAAUAUUAAAGUUGAGCAAAAAGAACUUCAUUCCAUGUAUCUGGAACACCAGGCAAGCACCAAUGCAAACAAUCCUGCAUUCCAGGUGUUGAUCUGAUGCUGUAUCGAGAUAUAUGACCUUCAUCUCUCAGCUGAGACAAAGCUGUGAUGUCCAAAAGCUUCACAGCUGUUCCUUUUACAGCCGCUGCUGCACCAGCAUCACUAGAUUCGUCUUGUACAACCUCCUUUCCACCAGAAAGCGGAGUGGUGUUAUCACAGGUGCCUCCAGUGUUCCAAUCUCCAUUAAAAAAAUGUCUGGGCGAUAUAGACCGGUAAAAUGCUUUAAGACCAGGGUAUUUUGGCAGCUGUGAAUCUACCCAUUUAAUGAUACUGUGA
rnacentral:misc_RNA from 1 species